GUGAGGAAUUUUCCGCAAUGGGCGAAAGCCUGACGGAGCAAUGCCGCGUGAAGGAUGAAGGCCUAUGGGUUGUAAACUUCUUUUCUCAGAAAAGAAUUAUGACGGUAUCUGAGGAAUAAGCAUCGACUAACUCUGUGCCAGCAGCCGCGGUAAGACAGAGGAUGCAAGCGUUAUCCGGAAUGAUUGGGCGUAAAGCGUCUGUAGGUUGUUUAAAAAGUAUUCUGUCAAAGAUUAGGGCUUAACCCUAGAUAGGCAGAAUAAACUUUUAAGCUAGAGUUUGGUAGAGGCAGAGGGAAUUCCCGGUGGAGCGGUGAAAUGCGUAGAUAUCGGGAGGAACACCAAAGGCGAAGGCACUCUGCUGGGCCAAUACUAACACUGAGAGACGAAAGCGAGGGGAGCAAAUGGGAUUAGAAACCCUGGUAGUCC
rnacentral:rRNA from 1 species